AGGACGAACGCUGGCGGCGUGCCUAACACAUGCAAGUCGAACGGAGAUUUCAGCAAUGAAAUCUUAGUGGCGAACGGGUGAGUAACGCGUAGACAACCUACCUUCUAGAUGGGGACAACACUGCGAAAGUGGUGCUAAUACCGAAUGUUGUAUUUGGGUUGCAUAACUAAGAUACUAAAGAUGGCCUCUAUUUAUAAGCUAUCGCUAGAAGAUGGGUCUGCGUCUGAUUAGCUAGUUGGUGAGGUAAUGGCUCACCAAGGCGACGAUCAGUAGCCGGUCUGAGAGGAUGAACGGCCACACUGGGACUGAGACACGGCCCAGACUCCUACGGGAGGCAGCAGUGGGGAAUCUUCCGCAAUGGACGAAAGUCUGACGGAGCAACGCCGCGUGAGUGAAGAAGGUUUUCGGAUCGUAAAACUCUGUUUUCAGGGACGAAUGUGCAGCUUGUAAAUAAUGAGUUGUAAUGACGGUACCCGAGUAGAAAGCCACGGCUAACUACGUGCCAGCAGCCGCGGUAAUACGUAGGUGGCAAGCGUUGUCCGGAAUUAUUGGGCGUAAAGCGCGCGCAGGUGGGAUAUUAAGUCUGGUGUUAAAGUUCGGGGCUCAACCCCGUGAAGCAUUUGGAAACUGAUAUUCUUGAGUGCAGGAGAGGAAAGUGGAAUUCCUAGUGUAGCGGUGAAAUGCGUAGAUAUUAGGAGGAACACCAGUGGCGAAGGCGACUUUCUGGACUGUGUCUGACACUGAGGCGCGAAAGCUAGGGUAGUGAACAGGAUUAGAUACCCUGGUAAUCCUAGCUGUAAACGAUGGGUACUAGGUGUUGGGGGUAUCGACCCCUCCAGUGCCGGAGUUAACGCAAUAAGUACCCCGCCUGGGGAGUACGGCCGCAAGGUUG
rnacentral:rRNA from 1 species